UACAGAGGUGGCAAGCGUUGUUCGGAAUUACUGGGCGUAAAGGGCGCGUAGGCGGUUUCGUAAGUCGUGUGUGAAAUCCCCCGGCUCAACUGGGGAACUGCACACGAAACUGCGAGGCUUGAAUUCGGGAGAGGGAAGCGGAAGUUCCGGGUGUAGCGGUGAAAUGCGUAGAUAUCCGGAGGAACACCGGUGGCGAAGGCGGCUUCCUGGACCGACAUUGACGCUGAGGCGCGAAAGCUAGGGGAGCAAACGGGAUUGAGAUACCCCGUGUAAGU
rnacentral:rRNA from 1 species